GAAGAGAGGUCUUGGCCAGACGCUGCGGAAGAGCGUUUGUUAGCGUGAGGAGCGGAGGGUGCGGGAGGGAGCGGGAAGGAAGGUGGGCGUGUCGCUGGCCUUGAGGCAAAAAGAGACUGGGUCUGAGGUUUGGAAGACGGAAGUGGUGGUAUACCCAAUCCCUCCACCCAUCUGUCCAGCCAGCAAAUAUUUUUGAGCACCUGCACGGGGCUCUGGGGAUGCUUCAGUGAACAAGACGGACGCAGACAGUCCCGGUCCUCACUGAGCUGGUACCUGAACUUAGAACCAUCGUUUUUUCCCAACAGCCAUUAUGGGGCACACCCCUUCGCCUUCUGGGCUGGUUUCCCCCACUGCAAGAUGGGAUAAUGAACUGCGUCCCUCACAGGUCUGUGGAGAGGCUUAGGUGCUGGCACCCGCUCUGCGCCUCUUCCCUUCCCUCAGCCCCACCCCUCCCUUCUCAGGAGCUGAAAACGCCGCUGAGCCCUGCGGUCAUGGUGGGGGGGGGGGCGUCCACCCUCCCGCAGAGUCUGGUUAAGGCCUAAACUUGAAGGGAUCCUCCAGGCCUGUGGAGACCUUCUAAACCUCGGAGUUUUGAAUUUGAUGAUUUGUAUCUAUUCCAGGUUCCAGCAAAAAAAGUGUUUCUAAGGAAACAAGUUGGAGACGAUUUUUACUGAUGAUAUACAUAUACAUGUGUACAUACCCAUACAAAUCUACAUACACUGAUAUGUAUCAUGUACACAUAUGUACACACAGACACACUGAUAUAUAUCAUGUACACACGUGUGCACACAGACACACUGAUAUAUAUCAUGUACACACAUAUGCACACAGAUACACUGAUAUAUAUCAUGUACACACAUAUGCACACAGAUACACUGAUAUAUAUCAUGUACACACAUAUGCACACAGAUACACUGAUAUAUAUCAUGUACACACGUGUGCACACAGAUACACUGAUACAUAUCAUGUACACACGUAUGCACACACAGACACACUGAUAUAUAUCAUGUACACACGUAUGUACACACAGAUACACUGAUAUAUAUCAUGUACACACGUAUGCACACACAGACACACUGAUAUAUAUCAUGUACACACGUAUGUGCACACAGACACACUGAUAUAUAUCAUGUACACACGUAUGCACACACAGACACACUGAUAUAUAUCAUGUACACACAUAUGCACACACAGAUACACUGAUAUAUAUCAUGUACACACAUAUGUGCACACAGACACACUGAUAUGUAUCAUGUACACACGUAUGCACACACAGAUACACUGAUACAUAUAUACACACUGCUUUAGAUACUAUGCAUACAUAUAC
rnacentral:lncRNA from 1 species